UUCAAUUUGCUGAGGACAGAUAAAGUGAAUGUGGCUAUCAAUUCCCCCAGCCGUAAGAAUCAUCCCUUCUCCCGCCACCGCUUCGGUACCCGGGCCAAUAAUGAUAUCAACGUUGUCCUGAAUAUAGGGAUUCCCCGCUUUGCCAAUUUUGAAAAUCUUGCCGUCUUUAAUCCCAAUAUCUGCCUUAACAAUGCCCCACCAAUCGAGAAUCAGGGCAUUCGUAAUCACCAGAUCAACGGCACCAUCGGCGUUGGAUAUGGGGGAUUGUCCCAUCCCAUCCCGAA
rnacentral:sRNA from 1 species